rnacentral:lncRNA from 1 species
UGAGCAGAUCCCCACCCAGCAGGUCGGGCAGGUAACAAACCAGUUGCCCCAAAAACCCAGACGGCAGCAUCAGCAAAAGUCAUACCUUCCCGUUGGAGCAGGCAGGGAGAUCAGACAGCAAAGGAGCCCGCAGGGGCUUGUUUGAUUUCGUUCGUUUGUUUUGCAAAUUGCGAGGUUGGUUUGGGGUUACUAUUUUUUUUUUCUUUUCCUUAAAAAGGAAAGAAAAAAAAAAGAAAAAAGGAAACAACCCAAUGUUUCUGUUGGCGGAUCCCGUGUUUUGUACGUUUUUUUUUUUUCCCUGUUGUUGUCUUUGUUACUUUGGGAACGUUACCGAUUUAUUUGCUAAUCAGUGUUAAUGAACAGUUUAAAACUUUCAGACUUGCCCAUUUCUGUGUAUUUAUAUAGAUGGAAAAAUACGUUAUAUUUUGUAUCUCUGUGCCCAUGAUGUCGUCGCGCGUGUAAAGAUGACUUCGGUCGCACCAUGUCUGCGUGUGAAUGUGACUCCGCUUUCGUCUUCCCCUUUGUACAGACGUCUGAUUCUCUGCAGUUCAUUGCUUACCAAGGGUGCUGGGGCCCCUCAGGAGUGACAGAAGGGGACAGAAGGUGUGACAGUCCAGUUUUUCAUCAGCAUCAUGUAUGGGCAAAGGCCGGGACCAGCCAGCAUCCCUGGGGUGGGACGGAUGGAAAAGGUCCAAUGCAGACAAAAGCCAACCUCAAGUUCGGGCUGGGGCAAACACGCUCACGUCCUCACCCUGCUUGGCAAAGAGUGGACCCUGUCUGUCCCCGUUCUCGUUGCAACCACUGAGGCCAAGCAUCCCCUGCCAGCCUGAGCCUGCAUUUGCCACCCAACACACACAGCACUGAAGGUGAGGGAUUUGUCCACACGGAUGAUGCUGAGUCCACUGGAAUGUGCUAGAAAGCCUGCCCUGGCACCAACACACGUGUGCGUGCACACGUGAGCUUUCCUGGCUGUGCAUGUGAGGUGCAGGACCUCCCUGCAGGCUGCAAGCCCUGCCAUUGGUGUCUGGGAUGCUGCUGCUGAAUUUCUGCAUCCCUCGGCUGCUCGGCCACAGCGUGCGAUGGUGACACCACAGCCCACGGGCUGAGGGGCACUGGAUCCUUGCCCAAGUGCACGGGGCUCCUCCGGGCACACAGACUGGGUCUGAGCAGCACAGCACCCCAAAAACGCCCUGUGGCCUUCUCUGGGAGGGGACCAAGCUGGCUGCAGGAGACAACAAGGAUGAGCGCCACCACCCAUCCCAGCAGGGCCUGGGGAGGUCCAUUACAGGGCUGUGGGUGAGAAAAGCCCCCCCCGAAGUAGCUAUGGGGGCAUGGUCACCAUCCCAGGAAGGUGUUACUGCUUGGUGGGAGGUCUGUGGGGCAGCAUUUUCCCAUUCUCCACGUCCAUGGUGGACAGAGAAAGGCAACAAAGGGAUUUGGGGUUAAACAUUGAACAAAGAGGGACAGUAUGACACGGUGGGUUUACUCGGAGAGAGAGUGGAGGUGAAACCAUGGAGGUCUUCGAGGGGAGGGAGGGGCUGAGCUGGAGCAGGGCGGCCUGCAGGAGGUCUGGGCUGUCCCUCGGAGAAGGGCGGUGGGCAGGACCGGGCUGUCCUUCUGCCUUGUGAGGUUCUGGCUCCAUCUACAGGGAUGUGCCUCCAAGUGAUGGAGGCCUG